UGGGAAUUUGUCAAGUGACUGCCAAAACUCAAAAGCAAAUCAAAAGCCACAUUAAAGAAUCUUGAAAAUCCGAUCAGUUUUGCAAGCAAGGCAUUGAUUUGGUUGUUUUCCGGCAGGAUUUCGGCUGCAAGCAAUUGGUUCUUCUCCGAGGGUUUUCAUGAAAAUAUAGCUUUGUGAGAAGUGGGGGAGGAUAAAUUCAGCCAAGGAACGUAGAACAAAGAGAAAAUGGGAAUUCAGAAAUUUCUCAAAUCCAUUCCAAAACCAACAGCUUCUGAUCGGACUUCACUGCUACCUCUUGCUGUAAGAACGAUAGAUUCUUCAAUGUGUACCACUAACAACCUCACACCUGUUGCCCAAAACCAACUGAACCAACUCAUGGAAACCCACCUCAAACCCUCUUUCACAGCCAAAGAUUUCCUCUCUUUUCUCAAGAACCGUGUCCAUUACCACCCUAUCCUCACUAACCUUGACUUCUACCUCUUCAACUAUGCUGCUUCUGUUGAUUCGUUCCGCCAUGAUCACACCACCUUUGAGUGGAUGGUCCGCACUCUUGCCACCACCCACCGCCUCCAAUUUCUUACAACUCUCCUCCAAUUUAUUUCUUCUAACCCCUGCCCGUGUGCUGAUGGUAUUUUCUCUUGCCCCAAAACUGAACCUAUUUUUCGUUUUGCCAUUAAUGCUUAUUGCAAAGCUGGUAGAUUUGAUGAUGCUUUGUUAGCUUUUAACACAAUGAGAAGAUUGAUUGAUGGGAAGCCUGAUGUUGCUGUUUGCAAUAUGAUAAUUCAUGGAUUUGUGAAGUUUAAGCAUUUUGAUAAGGCUCUGGAGUUUUACCAUAGGAUGAUUGGAGAUCGAGUAAAGCCUGAUGUAAUUACAUUCAAUACUUUGAUUUCUGGGUACUGUAAGAACUCGCAAUUGGGCUUGGCUUUACAAAUGUUUAAGGAGAUGAAAACUCAUGGAUGUGCUCCAAAUGUAGUUAGUUUUAAUACUUUAAUUAAAUGGUUUCUUUUGGAUGGUAAGAUUGAGGAGGGGAUUGGGAUGGCCUAUGAGAUGACUGAGAUGGGAUGGGAGAUUUCAGCAGUGACUUGUGAGAUUUUGGUUGAUGGGCUUUGCAGGAAAGGACUGGUGUUGAAAGCGUGCGAUUUAUUGGUUGACUUUUCAAGGAAAGGGGUGCUGCCAAGAGCAUUUGAUUAUUUUGGGUUAGUUGAGAGGCUUUGUGGGGAAGGGAAUGUGGUCAGAGCAAUGGAAUUGGUGCAUGAGUUAUGGAGGAAUGGGAAUUCUCCAAGCUUGAUUGCUUGUACGACCUUAAUUGAAGGUUUAAGGGGAAAAAGAAAGGUUGACGAAGCAUAUGAAAUUAUGGAGAAAAUGCUGCAGGAAUGUAUGCUUCCGGACAGUGUAACAUUUAAUUGUCUUCUUAAUGACAUGUGUGAUGCAGGAAGAGUGAAGGAAGCAAAUAAGAUGAGGUUAUUGGGUUUAAACAAGGGCUUGGAUCCUGAUACUGUGACAUAUAAUAUUUUGGUAUCAGGUUUUAAGAGGGAAGGUAAAAAGAAGGAAUCGGAAGCUUUGGUGGAAGAGAUGUUGGAUUUGGGGUUUAUACCUGAUAUUGCUACUUAUAACAGGUUGAUCAAUGGACAUGCUAAAUCAAAACGUUAAUUUUCAAUGCCUGUACUUUCUUCAAGUUGAGACUACUUGCAUGGUUUCAAGUUAUUGAUGGAGAAUAUCAUGAUUAUUUUCCUUGUACUUUCAAUCAUCUGCAAAGAAGAUUGGUGAGUUAUAUAUCAUCGAGUAUUUUUCGGAGAGAGUCAACUGAAGCGGCAGCUUGGAGUUCUCAUGGCUUAAAAUGGUACAAAAACUGUCAUCUAUCAUCAUCAACAACUCUUUUCUGCACCGCAACAGAUCAUGGCAGAUAUGCUGCAUAUUUCUUAACAUGGAGUAUAGUGGACUCCACCGUGCCGAUUAAGAAGGAGGUUCUGCUAUGCUGGGAAGGACAAAGGAUUAGCUAGAGAGAAUGUGAAGAACAGUAUUAAUGUCCAUCCCAUGGGCAGUUUGUCCGCUGAGAACCACACACAUUUUGAGACUAAAUGUUUCUCAAAAAAAUACCACCGGGUGUAUAUUGGAUCUUACAAAAGUUAUUCAUUCUUGAAGAAUUCGACAUGGGUGCGGUAACAUUUUUGGUCCACAUGAACAAGAAGCAUGGGUUCUUCAUACCAGAUGUCGAGUUUUGGGAGGAUCCUAAAGGCUUCCUCGCUUAUCUUGGUCUCAAGGUUAAAAAGUAUUAUAUAUGUCUGUCUUACAACGAUGGAUGUCAUCCUUUCGGUAGUUUAGAGCAGUGCAGAAACAUAUGAAAGCAAAAGUUCAUUGCAAAGUGCAUUAUGGUGACGGUGGUGAUGAUGAAGAGGAGGAAUUAGAAGAGUUUUAUGACUAUAGAAGCAGGUGUUCCUACCUUUCAUAAACCAACUUGAUACUUAAUUCUCUGGAAGUCGCCAACUGUUUGCCUACUCUACUUAAUGAAUCUAAUACUCAAGCAGCCAAAACUCAAAGGUACCUCAUCCGGCUUUUGGGUGAUCCACCACUGCAUCAUAUCUACAGGGAGCGAAACAUCUUAGCAAAUAGAUUAGCAUGCAUGGCUUCGGCAACAAAUUUGGGCAGUGAAAAUACAACUUUUCGGAAUCCUCCUUCUCAAUUACUAGAUGUUUUGUUGGACGACCAAGUGGGAAGGAUGUAUACAAGACAAAUAGCUUCGACAAGUGUACAGGCAACUGGAGAGUGGAGAAGCAAUCACCACAGACCAGGAGAUAAUAAUGGAACCAAAUUUUGCAACAAAUGCUCCUAACUGCCCACUUAGCUUCUAAUAUAGCUGCCCAGCCCAGUCUUCACUAAAACAAGUACUAAUAAUAGUUGUGUCGUAUCUACUGUUAGGCUACGUGAACUUUCACCUUGUUGGUGAAGGUUCGAUUCCCCACCUUGUUUUCCCUUCCCCCCAUAACUCUAUGGUGCACUGUGCUCCGUUGUAGUUUCUAUCA